rnacentral:lncRNA from 1 species
UUACUUUUUUAGCUCACCUGUCCCGAAGGGACAAGUGAGCUUAUGUCAUCACUUGGCGUCCGUCGUCGUCCGUCGUCUGUCGUCCGUCGUCUGUCGUCGUAAACUAUUUCAAGAAUCUUCUCCUCUGAAACUACUGGGCCAAAUACUUUCAAACUUUAACUGAAUGUUCCGUAGGGUAUCUAAUUUAUAAAUUGUAUCCGAAGUUUUGAUCUAUCCAAAACAUGGUCGCCAUUGCUAAAAAUAGAACAUAGGGGUCAAAUGCAGUUUUUGGCUUAUAACUCAAAAACCAAAGCAUUUAGAGCAAAUCUGACAUGGG